GUGCUUGCUUCGGCAGCACAUACACUAAGAUUUGAACGAUACACAGAAGAUGAGCAUGGCCCCUGCUCAAGGAUGACAUGCAAAUCUGUGACGCAUUCCAUAUUUUU